rnacentral:lncRNA from 1 species
UCCUCGCCGUCCUCUUGUUCAUCCUCUCCUGGUACGUAAUAACCAGCUAUCAAGAAACCAAAUAUACAAACUUUUCCGCGUCUAUUCUAGUCUACCACUUCACCAUACUAUUUCGGCAAAAAAUGUUUGUAUGUUUUAAAACCGCGAGUUUCAUAGGGAAUCUAUCGACAUCUGGUUAUAGGUUUGUUCACUUACAUAUUGGAAAUGAUUAUUGUGGUCUCUCCAUGCACAUAUACUUGCAGGGUCCUCGCGGUUGCAACGGUGAUAACAUUUUUGCUGGCCGCAUCGAUGGUUGGGUCUGGAGGAAUUUUUCAUAUUUACAUGGACGACGCCAACGCACCGGGUGUUUUAAUGUUCGUGGUGCCGACGGUCUUAUUUAAAAUAGUUGUCGGCCUUGACAUAGUCUCCUAUGUCCUCGUUUAGAAGGUUGGUCGCCACCAUGCUUGUGCCCUGGCCGGCGGUGAUCCUCCUCCGGUGCCAACCAUGGUGUCUAAAGUUGGUGCCCGGCCUUCUCUUCCUGCAUGUGAAAAUAAAGUCUGAGGGUAGCUUAUGCCGCUAUGGGAUGGUUGCGUUGUGUAUAUAUGCCGAUGUUUUUAUCCCUCUUUUGUCUAUUUUACUUUACUAGCAUAAAUGUAUGUGUGUUGUAACCGAAGACAUUGCUACAUGUCUCAUGCGCCAUUUAUUUUCGUCUGCUCUCCUUAUUUCCC